ensembl:lncRNA
UGGUGUCCAGAGUUCAAUCACAGAAACUUCUGUACAUAAAAGUUUCAAUAUUAAAUAAUAGUAAGCAUUUUAUAAAGCUAGCCUUGGCCAGGAAGCUUCGCUUUCAGGUUAAAAGCAGGAAUCUAGGAAGCUUACAUUUCCAAGAUCCCUUCAAAUUAAGUUUGGACCAAGUGACUGGCUUCUCCUGCAUUGGCUGUGGCCUCUUUAGGCCUUUGUGUUUAUCCUCACUCCACCUAUUUCAGUAGUGAUCUGGGAGGCCAUACGAUCAAGAGGGCAGGAUCACAGCAUAGCUGAACUGUAAAGAAAAUGAAACUUGAAGCUUUCAGAAGGAAAUUUGAAGCUUCAUUUCAUUCCAGUAAUGA